GAGCAGUUAUUCUCUACACUAUACAUUUAUUUUUAUCACAUAAACUGAACUAAGGCGAACAUUAUAGAAUUUUAGCUACUAAAGGCAAAGCGAGUUCUACACAUUGAACCGUGCAGUCCAGAGCUUUCAUUUUUAUCAAAGGUUGCUGCGGGUAUGUCCAGGUUGGUGUUUAGUGUACAGUGACUGUAGGCUAAAUUGUACCAUCAAACGAUUGAUAAUGUUAAUUCAGUAGCAUGAUGAUUGUACCAGAUAUGUCUUCAUUGUAAUCUACAUGGAUGAAAUUUUCCUGAGGACAAAAUUGGUCAACUUCAACAAACAGUUUCAAGACAGAUAUCUGUUACACACAGCAUCCCUGGUGGUGUACAGAGAGAUGACAUGGAUCAAUCUUUCUCUCAUGGUUGUCUUAUAGAGAUUGUGCUGGUGGGGAAAGUUGGAUGUGGGAAGAGCGCUUCAGGAAACACUAUCCUACGAAGGGAGGUGUUUAAAUCAUCAUUUGGUUCCUCAGCUGUGACAAAGACUUGUAAGAGGGAGACAGGUCUGGUGUGUAGGAGCCGAGUCGCUGUAGUUGAUACUCCAGGUCUGGUGUGUAGGAGCCGAGUUGCUGUAGUUGAUACUCCAGGUCUGGUGUGUAGGAGCAGUCGCUGUAGUUGAUACUC